GUUCCAGUAGCACAAUGGAAAGCGUGUUGGACUUCUAAUCCAAAGGUCGUGGUUUGGAAUCCCACCUGGGAUG